GGGUGUCUGGUUAGUGUGGUUUAUGAUUAACAGGGUGUCUGGUUAGUGUGGUUUAUGAUUAACAGGGUGUCUGGUUAGUGUGGUUUAUGAUUAACAGGGUGUCUGGU